rnacentral:rRNA from 1 species
UACGGAGGGUGCAAGCGUUGUUCGGAUUGACUGGGCGUAAAGGGCGUGUAGGCGGUUGGUCAAGUCUGGGGUGAAAGCCCGGGGCUUAACCCCGGAAGUGCGCUGGAAACUAGCCAGCUAGAGGGCGAGAGAGGAGGGUGGAAUUCCUGGUGUAGCGGUGAAAUGCGUAGAUAUCAGGAGGAACACCGGCGGCGAAGGCGGGUCUCUGGCUCGUUGCUGACGCUGAAACGCGAAAGCGUGGGGAGCAAACAGG